UCACGGAGGUGCAGAAGGUUGAUGUCAAGAGAGUCCCUGAAGACUCACUGGAGGAAUGUGUCAUCACUCGUUCAAAUAGCUGUGGCCCUACUGACUCCAGCCAGCCUCACGGAGACACCAGUGAAAUCCCAUUCAAGGCAGACAACGUCGACUCUGCACUGGCUGUCGAGAGUCCAUCAUCUCAUGAUGUAGUGGAGGAUGCUCUAAUCAUUCUUUCAGAAUGUCAAAGUGAUGAUGAGGAAGAGGAAGAAAAAGGGCCAGUGUCCCACAGGAAUCUGCAGGAGUCUGUGGAGGAGGAAGCCCCCCAGGAGUCCUGGGAUGAAGGUUAUUCGACUCUCUCAGUUCCUCCUGGCACAUCUGCCUUCAGUGAGCCUUACAGGACCAAGUUGCACUCAUUAGAGGAGCAGCAGGUCGACUUGGCUCGUGACAUAGACAAGAUUAAAAUAACCAAGAAGAGGAAGAAGACCAAGGCCCACUGUGCCCCAGGUAACUCUGAGCAAUUGUGGACAGCUAAUUAUGUGUUGACACCUGGAGAUGCCAGGUCCAGGGAAAACA